UUUCCGUUGGUGAACCAGCGGAAGGAUCAUUACUGAGAUCAUGCCCUUAACGGGGUAGACCUCCCACCCUGUGUUAUUACGAUUGUUGCUUUGGCAGGCCGCCCUCGGGCGCUCGGCUUCGGCUGAGGCGUGCCUGCCAGAAGACCCAAACCCUGUAUUUAGUGUUGUCCGAGUACUAUUUUAAUACGUUAAAACUUUCAACAACGGAUCUCUUGGUUCUGGCAUCGAUGAGGAACGCAGC
rnacentral:misc_RNA from 1 species